rnacentral:rRNA from 1 species
CGAACGGUAACAGGAAGCAGCUUGCUGCUUUGCUGACGAGUGGCGGACGGGUGAGUAAUGUCUGGGAAACUGCCUGAUGGAGGGGGAUAACUACUGGAAACGGUAGCUAAUACCGCAUAACGUCGCAAGACCAAAGAGGGGGACCUUCGGGCCUCUUGCCAUCGGAUGUGCCCAGAUGGGAUUAGCUAGUAGGUGGGGUAACGGCUCACCUAGGCGACGAUCCCUAGCUGGUCUGAGAGGAUGACCAGCCACACUGGAACUGAGACACGGUCCAGACUCCUACGGGAGGCAGCAGUGGGGAAUAUUGCACAAUGGGCGCAAGCCUGAUGCAGCCAUGCCGCGUGUAUGAAGAAGGCCUUCGGGUUGUAAAGUACUUUCAGCGGGGAGGAAGGGAGUAAAGUUAAUACCUUUGCUCAUUGACGUUACCCGCAGAAGAAGCACCGGCUAACUCCGUGCCAGCAGCCGCGGUAAUACGGAGGGUGCAAGCGUUAAUCGGAAUUACUGGGCGUAAAGCGCACGCAGGCGGUUUGUUAAGUCAGAUGUGAAAUCCCCGGGCUCAACCUGGGAACUGCAUCUGAUACUGGCAAGCUUGAGUCUCGUAGAGGGGGGUAGAAUUCCAGGUGUAGCGGUGAAAUGCGUAGAGAUCUGGAGGAAUACCGGUGGCGAAGGCGGCCCCCUGGACGAAGACUGACGCUCAGGUGCGAAAGCGUGGGGAGCAAACAGGAUUAGAUACCCUGGUAGUCCACGCCGUAAACGAUGUCGACUUGGAGGUUGUGCCCUUGAGGCGUGGCUUCCGGAGCUAACGCGUUAAGUCGACCGCCUGGGGAGUACGGCCGCAAGGUUAAAACUCAAAUGAAUUGACGGGGGCCCGCACAAGCGGUGGAGCAUGUGGUUUAAUUCGAUGCAACGCGAAGAACCUUACCUGGUCUUGACAUCCACGGAAGUUUUCAGAGAUGAGAAUGUGCCUUCGGGAGCCGUGAGACAGGUGCUGCAUGGCUGUCGUCAGCUCGUGUUGUGAAAUGUUGGGUUAAGUCCCGCAACGAGCGCAACCCUUAUCCUUUGUGCCAGCGGUCCGGCCGGGAACUCAAAGGAGACUGCCAGUGAUAAACUGGAGGAAGGUGGGAUGACGUCAAGUCAUCAUGGCCCUUACGACCAGGGCUACACACGUGCUACAAUGGCGCAUACAAAGAGAAGCGACCUCGCGAGAGCAAGCGGACCUCAUAAAGUGCGUCGUAGUCCGGAUUGGAGUCUGCAACUCGACUCCAUGAAGUCGGAAUCGCUAGUAAUCGUGGAUCAGAAUGCCACGGUGAAUACGUUCCCGGGCCUUGUACACACCGCCCGUCACACCAUGGGAGUGGGUUGCAAAAGAAGUAGGUAGCUUAACCUUCGGGAGGCGCUUACCACUUUGUGAUUCAUGACUGGGGUGAAGUCGUAACAAGGUAACCGUAGGGGAACCUGCGGUUG